GCAGAGGUGGCGGAACGGUUACGUACCCGCCUGCAGAGCGGGGCAACGGGGUUCGACUCCCCGCCUCUGCU
rnacentral:tRNA from 1 species